GCUAGACUAUACUUAUGGGUAGGUAUAUAGGUAUAUCACAAUCGAUCGGCAGACGUGUGUCACUGUCAAGUACGGAAAGGUGAAUUAUCGUCCACUUCAGUUCGCAUAAACUUUCCUUAUACGCGACUUCGACCUGAACGCCAGCUACCACGCUGCUCUCCAGUAUGGGGAAAACAUUUUGAAACUCGAACAUUUGGCUGCUGAUUGCCUGAAGCAAAUACACCUAAUUCGCAGUAUUGAGGGUCACGAUAUACCAACAAUUUUCAAGGAAGACCGAGUAUAACACGUUACUACAUAAUCACAGAAGAGGGAAAACUGCCAGCUUCAACUUCUGUAUAUCUACGUUUGUGUGAUCUGUGGUAAUGUAAGAGCAGCACAUUGAGAGCCUGCUAAUUAUCUUGAAUAUGCAGAUCUCACUAUAUGUGACACGGUAUGUUAUACCUACGCAUCUUGUAUACCUGUAGGUCAUGCUUGAAACAGCACGGAUUGGUUCAUAAAAAGAUGGUCGUUAACUAUACUCUGGGACAUGAGAUAAGCCUUAA